rnacentral:rRNA from 1 species
GUGGGGAAUCUUAGACAAUGGGCGCAAGCCUGAUCUAGCCAUGCCGCGUGAGCGAUGAAGGCCUUAGGGUUGUAAAGCUCUUUCGUGGGGGAAGAUAAUGACUGUACCCCAAGAAGAAGCCCCGGCUAACUCCGUGCCAGCAGCCACGGUAAUACGGAGGGGGCUAGCGUUGUUCGGAAUUACUGGGCGUAAAGCGCACGUAGGCGGACUGGAAAGUCAGGGGUGAAAUCCCGGGGCUCAACCCCGGAACUGCCUUUGAAACUCCCAGUCUUGAGUUCGAGAGAGGUGAGUGGAAUUCCGAGUGUAGAGGUGAAAUUCGUAGAUAUUCGGAAGAACACCAGUGGCGAAGGCGACACACUGGCUCAUUACUGACGCUGAGGCGCGAAAGCGUGGGGAGCAAACAGGAUUAGAUACCCGAGUAGUCC